CAUACAAUGCAUCUACAAUCCAUAAGACGACCUAUGUAGAGUAGAAAAUGAAUCUCACAUAUUCUUUGGAUUUGGGUUUGUUUGUUAUUGGGCUUAUAGCCCAUUAAGUUUAAUAUAAAAGUAAUUUAUUUACCCUAACUCUUAUGUCUUCUUUGUUGAAGGAGCCAUUGCUACACCUGUAGGUUUUUCCUCUUUCAUGCGUGCUUCUUCCUCAUAUGUGUUUCGAUCUUGAGUCUUGAAUGUAGCCAAUCGAGUUUGGAGAAAAAUUAUAAGCCAUUUGCAGAAGAGAACAAACUGUUGCUGGAGUUAUGCAGAAAACGGAGAUUGAUUAUCAAUCUGGAUAUGUCAAUUUGAUCUUUUUGGAGUUUUGCUGAUCAAUCUAGAGUUCCUGUUUUGAUCAUUCUGGAUGUCCUUUGCAAUGUCUUAUCAUAUAUCAAGGUUGAUCAAACUUUCUUGACAGUUUGAUUUUAGAAUUACAAACUGUUCUUAUUUUUGAUUGUUUUUUUAGUCCUUUUAUUUUAGUGAUCAGAUAGCCUUUUUGAUCUGAGAUGAAUCCUACUUGUUCCUUGCCAUGUACUGAUUCUAUUUGAAUAAAUUUCCAAGGCAGACUCUUUGUUAAAGAGGUAGGAAAAGAUUGAUCAAUAUGCUGUGAUGAACAUUUUUGAAACUGGAGAUCAUUCUUUGUUUUAAUGUUCUUGUUGCUAUCUUCUCUGCUUUUGCUUGAUUCUGUUCUUAAUUAAAUUCACUCAAAAGCACAAGUUAAAUUAACAUAACAUUUUAGAAUCAUAAUUAACUUUCUUAAUUAACCUUUGUUUAUUUUCAUCAAAACUUUAAAUAUGGAGUUUGUCUCAACAGACACCCUCCACCAGACAUCUUGUACUGAUACUUCUCAACAUAAUGAAGCUGUUGAAAGGAAGCACCAUCAUAUUAUUGAGAUUGUUUAUUCUUUUUUGUUGUCUGCUUCGAUUCCCAAUGAUUUUUAGGGUGAAACAAUUUUUAAUGUUGUCCAUGCUAUUAAGAGAAUCCACCGUCUAUCAUAUCAAGUUUGUCUUCCUUUGAAAACUUGUAUGCUUCUAUAUUUUAUUACUCUUCUUUGAAAGUCUUUAAUCCUACUUGUUUUGUUCUUCGUCCACUAGUAAAAUAUAAUAAGUUGUCUUCUCGUUCUUGCAUGUGUUUUUCUUGGUUAUGAUAAUGGUUAAAAGGGUUAUCAUUAUUAUGAUCCUCAUGCAAGAAAAUUUUAUAUUUCUCGUCAUGUUUUUCUUGAUCACAUUAUGUUUUACUCUGUUUCCUCUAAUUCUCAUAUUACUAAUAGUUCAAAAAUAACUCAUUGAUAUGUUUGGUUCUACUACACCACAUGAUGACAUUGUCUUGUCCCCCCACUUGUCCAACCAACUUCUGCAAAUGUUAUUCCUAUGUCUUUGUCUUUGUUUCCACCUUCGCCUCAUCGUUACCCCUCAUGUCACUAUAAGUCUACUUAAUUAUCCGAUUUUAUGUAUUCCACUCGCUUAGUAUCGUUUGCUUCUUUUUUAACCUUUAUUCACAGUUUAUUUGAACCUUCUUCCUAUAAAAAAAGACAAUUUUUGAUCCUUUUUGGUAGCAUAUUAUGGGGGAAAAACUAUCUCCAUUGCACAAAAGAGAUACUUGAGAAUUAGUACAUCUUUUUCGUGGAAAGCGUGAUAUUGGGUCUCAUUGGGUAUACAAGAUCAAAACUAAGUCUGAUGGGUUAGUUGCGUACUACAAAUUAUGUCUUAUUUCUAAAUGAUUAUCUCAACAAUAUGGUAUGGAUUAUGAAGAAAAUAUUGCUCUUAUAGCCAAAAUGGUCAUUAUUUGUACUGUUAUUCUAACUGCAUCUAUCAUCAGUGACAUAAUUCUCAAAUGAAUGUAAAAAAUGUCUUUCAUGAAGAAGUUUAUAUGGUCGCUUCACAAGGUGUUUUUCAUAAUCAAAGGGAGGUGUGUAAGUUAAAGAAGACUCUCUAUGAUUUUAAACAUACUUUUCGAGCUUGGUUUGAGAAAUCCUCUACUGUGAUCACAUUUCUUGGUUUUUUUUUUUAGUGAAUAUGAUUAUGCAUUGUUUAUCAGAUCCAUCGCUUAUGGUCGCAUUAUACUUUCCUUGUAAGUUAAUGGUAUCAUUAUUACAUGUGAUUAUGCUAAUGGAAUCACAAAGUUAAAAUUACAAUUAGCCAAACAGUUUAAAAUGAAGGGCUUAAACACUAUUCAUUAUUUGUUGGGGAUUGAAGUUGCUUACUCUCCUUUUGAAUCUAAGUACAUUGCCAACAUUCUUGAACUUACUCAUCUUUCUGAUAUUAGAGCAACAUAAACUCAUCUUGAGUUGAACGUGAAGUAUGGUCUCUCUAAUGAUGUUUCUUUAUCAUAUCACACUUUGUACCGUACUUUGGUUGAAAAUCUAGUGUAUCUUACGAUUACCAAAUUUGAUAUUGCUAAUGCUAAUAUUUUCAGUCAAUUUGUUGUCUCUCCCACGAAUAAAGUGUCAAUCUACUUCAAUAUGUUUGGUGUGCUCAUGAAAAAUAGUAUUUGCAACAAUUUGAAUACACUUGUAUUGUCAGCAUAGAGAGACGUCAGCUUUGAUUGAGGGAAUCCAAGUUCAGCCAAAAGACCAUGAAGCCAAUAAAGGAUCUGGAAAUAGAUCACCCUAAUCUCAGUGAUAUUUCACACUAACCUCAAGAGGAGUAUCUACCGAAUUAGCUGAUUGAAGGCUCGCCAUAGAAAUAAGGUUUGUCGCAUACUUAUGUUGAUGAAGAAAUAUACCCUUGGAGGUAGAAUGAACCUCAAGGCCAAGGAAAUAAUGCAAGUUACCAAGAUCUUUCAUAUGAUGUUUAAGUUCUUGGAUUGAUGCCUGAUCAGAUCCAGUAAUGACCAAUCAUUAACAUAAAGGAUGAGUAGAAUAAUGCCUUUAGAUAUGCAAUGAAUAAAUAAAGAGGAGUCAUGUUGACUUUGAGUGAAAGAGAAACCAAGUAAAGUGGAAUGAAAUUUCUCAUACCAUGCUCUAGGUGCUUGUUUCAAAUCAUAUAAAGAACGUUUGAACUUGCACACACCAUGAGAUGAAGAAAAUAGACCUUGAGAAGAAGUCAUAUAAAUAUCUUCAGUGAGAUCACCGUGAAGAAAUGCAUUCUUCACAUCAAUUUGAUGAAGAGUCCACCCAUUAGAAGCAGCUAUAGAGAGUACAGUAUGAACAAUUGUCAUUUUGACUACCAGUGCAAAUGUCUCAUCAUAAUCAAUUCCAUAUUCUUGUUUGUUUUCUAAGGCAACCAAUCGAACCUUGUACCGAUUCAAGGACCCAUCAGAAUUCAAUUUAAUAUAAUACACCCAUUUACAGCAUAUGGUUUGAUAUGAAGAGGACAAGAGACCAAUAUCCCAUGUGAAAUUCUCUUGAAGAGUCUUAAGUUCGUCAUUCCUUAUUUUUAUCUAGCGCACAUCUUUAACGGCCUGUGAGUAACAAGUAGGAAUAUAUAUGCUAGAGAGAGAUGCAAACAAAGUAGUAUGUGAGGAAUUAUACUUGUUUGGUGGAUAUCUAUCGGGUGCACAAGAUGCUCUACUAGAACGUCGUGGUGCAACCGCUACAGGAUCAGGUGGCAGAUCAAGGUCGAGAAUGGGGGUUAUAACUUGUUCUUUGUGUUUUCUAACAUAUAUAUUUCAUGGUUUAAAAUGUUCUAUAGAUUGAGGCAUAGUAGAAAAGUUUGGAAGAAUAGCAAUAUCAUUCAUAGCAAGAGAAUGACAGUGAAACAUAAAUUAAUUAUAAAAAAAUGUCACAUUCCUAGAAAUACGAAAGCGCUGGUUAGAAACAUCAUAACACACAAAACUCUUAUGAGAGUUACAAUAUCCCAUAAAUGUGCAUUGAGUAGACUGUGCUCCAAGCUUAUUUCUUUCAAAUGGAGGUAGGUGAACAAAACACACAUCCAAAAGUAUGUAAAUCACUAUAAUCAGACUGAAUUUUAAAAAGAAGAAAUAAAAGGGGAGUCAAGAUCAAUAACUGUAGAAGGAAGACAAUUGAUCAGGAAGACAGUUGUGGAAAGAUCCUCCACCCAAUAUCGAGAUGGUACAAAAGCUUGAAGAAGUAAGGUGCAUGUUACAUCAAGCAAAUGACGAUUCUUACGUUCUACCAUUCCAUUUUGUUGGGGGGUAUUUGGGAAGGAUUGUUGAGAUAGAUACCUUUUUGUUGAAGAUACUCCUGAAACUCAUGGGACAUAUACUCACCACCAGAGUCAAAGCAAAAUCUUUUAACACUUGUUUGAAAUUGAGUUUCAACAUAUGUUAGAAAUUUCUUUAACAUAGAAACCACUUCAUAUUUGAACUGAAGAAAAUAUAUCCAAGUAAAACGAUUGUAAUCAUCAAUAAAUGUGGUAAAAUAUUUAUAGUGAGCAUGAGAAGUUACAAGAGACAGUCCCCAUACAUCACUAUGAAUCAUCUUAAAACAAGUGGAAGCACGAUGAGCACUAGGCAGAAAAUUAAGUGUUUUACUUUUAGCCAAUUUGCAAACAAAACAUGGCACAUAGGCAUUAGAAACAACAUUUUUAUUUUCCACCAAACCUGUUUUAACUAAAUGAGACAAAACAGUAGAGUUUGGAUGACUCAAUUUUCUAUGUCAAUCCUCAUAAGAAUUCAAAACAUUAUUACAAACAAGAGAUAAAUAAUUGGAAAUAAAUUGAUAUGGAAACAAUCUUCCCACUUUAGGCCCUUUCGCAAUCACCUUUCCCGACACCUGCUCCUUCACAAGACAACCAUCACGAGAAAAAUUAACAUUACAAUUGUUGUCCAUCAAUUGUCCAAUAGGCAAUAAAUUAGAAGCAAGUCCAGGUGAUACGAGCACAUCCCGAAAAUCAUAGUUGAUAUCACCAACAUUAGUGAUAGAAAUAAUAUUACCAUCAACAAUUUCAAUUUUCUGAUUACCAUGAUUAGAAUGUAAAUUUUGCAAGCAUUUAGAAGAACCUGUCAUGUGAUUGGAUGCACCAGAAUCAAGAAACCAUGGAUUGGAAACAUUAGAAGACUUACCCUGAAUUCCCAAGGCUAAAAGAGCAUAAAGUACCAUUUGUUGAAUCAUUUCAAGUUGUAGAACACCACCAUUAGAGGCACUAGGAAUGGAAGGACCAACUGCGGAGCUCGUAGUUGCAUAGAGUGCCUGCACGGAAUGUUGUGUUGGUCAUGGAGGGCACGUGAGACAAUCAGAGAUAAUAUGACCUUGCUUCUUGCAAUAAUUACAAAACUUCUUAUUACAACUACGAGCGACAUGUCCAAACUAUUUACACGAGAAACAUUGGACUUGUCGCAUAUCACGACCUUUACCUCGACUUUGAACAACAUAUGCAACAGGUUCGGAAGUGACAACAUCAUGAAAUAUGGUUCCUUGAGUAAGGAGACGUUGUUCCUUUCUGAGAAGUUCACCAAUACAUGUAUCCAAAGAAGGAACAUGAUUUCUGUUCAACAAAACACCUCUAACAAUCUCAAAUUCUGGACGAAGUUGCAUGAGAAAUUGACCCCGCUUACUAGUGUGGUAGACAACUUGGACAUCCGCAAGAGAAGUCUUGGGAACCACAACAAAUAGAACAAUAGAGUGUUCUAUUCACAAAUUCAAAAGUUCAUAAUAAUAUUCUUGAAUUGACAAAUUACCUUGUUUGUAGUUGGCUAUCUCUAGCUCCAAAUGAAAAUGUUUGGCCGUAUUGUCUUGGUUUUAGAUACGUUUCAAAUAGUUCCACAUUUCUUGAGCAUCUGAAAAAGAGCGCAAAUUAUUGAUCAUAUAAGGAUCAAUAGUAUUGAGAAUCCAAUAAAUAAUAUGAGCAUAUUUGAUUUCCCAUGCAUCUAAUGCGGCUUUCACUGUCGGUGCCUUAGAAACCUCAUCAAGGUGACUCCAUAAUCCAUUUCCUUUAACAUACAUUUUGAAUUGAAAUUCCCAAGCAACGUAAUUCUUGCCGGUAAAACGGACACGAGAAUGACGACAACCAUGAUCAAGAAAGAAUGACGAUGAACGAAGCUAGCAACAACAACGACAAGCAAUAACGAGCAAGAAUGACAACCAACAAACCAAAAUCACGAUCGAGCAGCAGCAAGAAACAACCCAUAAGAACAAUCUCAACACCGAAAAAUUGUGAAAGACAAUAAGGAAUCGCGAAGAUAAAACCAAGAGUCGACAUACAUCUAUGGUUGAGAGUUCGUAACAUAAUCACGAAACAAGCAAGGACUAAGAACGGGAGGAACGAUUUCAAGAGCGACCCAAUAGGGUGUCGCUGAAUAAAGCCAAGAUUAACUAAGAGCUCAUAGGUUUGAUCGAACCUGUUGAUAUCAUGUCCCAAAUUAGGGUUUGAUCUCGUUUGCUUUGAUAUUUCUUAGUAUAAAUUAUCGUUACAACGUUUACAUCUAAUAAUUACAAAUUAAGGGGAUCAAAUCAAAUCCUGAUUUGUCUAACUUAUUUUAAGAAAGCUGAUAAAUAUAAUUACAAAUUUAAUAUUAUUUCUUGAUUCCCAAUGUUUUUAUAUAGUUUCCUAGUGUAGUAGUUGGUUCAUUGGAAAUGGGGAAACUAUAAAUUUUUGGAUUGAUUCUUGGAGUGGAGCUCUUCUCAUUGAUGCUCUUAGAGCAUCUUCAAAGGUAGCAAAAUGAGUUCGUCCACCAGCGUGUAGUUACGUAAAAGUCAGUUUUUGGCGAGUUCAUUGUUGGAGAUGUGUCAAGCUGUCAUCACGGUUCUCUUAGGAACGAACGAUACUUUCAUCACAGUUACCUUUUUGUUGUUGUUAAUUUACGAAUAAUAAUAAAUAUAUGACUAUUAGUGGUGGACCCUAUUUAAUGAAACCGUGAGUUCAUCGUUGGAGUAAAAAAUGAAUGAGUUAUUUUAAGAUAAUGUGGCAUGAUGGACCCCAUUUAAUGAACCCAUAUUGAGUUCCCGUUGGAAAUGCUCUUAGUAUUCCCACAAAUGUUCAUCAUCUGUUAAAAGCAAAAGUGAGAGAUUUUAUUAACAAUUACAAAUGGUACAUUCCAUUCAUGAUUCUUCAAGCUUAUUCUGCUUUAGAUUAUAUAGUGCCCCAGAUCACCAUUCUUGUAGACCAAUGAAGAGAUCAACUGCUCUGGAAUCACUCCAACUGGGGUUUACUAUCCUUUAAGGAAGCUUACAAUUUUUUACACCCAGUUGGUCGAACAUUCAUUGGGCCAAGUUAAUUUGGAAUAGGACUUCAACCAACCUCAUUAGAGAUUUUGUGGUCUUGAAAGUCUUCAAUGUCGAAAUUCACCCUCCAAAGAAAAAUAUAAUCAAGGAAAUCAUUUGGAAAACUCAUUUCUUUGAUUGAGUCAAGUGCAAUACAAACAGUGGGAUCCUUGGUAGCCCAGAUGGCAUUUUUAGAAACAAAAAUGCUAACUCAUUGGGUUGCUUUUCUGAGAAUAUUAGUACUACUUUUUCCUUACAUAUUGAAUUCGUUGGUGCCAUAAAAGCCAUUCAAAUUGCUGCUUAUAGAGGGUUGAAUCAUUUACCUUAGCCUUCAAGUCUCUCUGUAUUGUGUCAUGGAGACUAAAGAACGGAUGGUUAAACUGCACCCAUCUGACCAAGAACAUGUCAUUCAUUGUUUCUCACAUAUAUAGACGACGUUCUAAUUCCUGUUAUAGAAGACUAAAAUCGUCAUAGAUUAGGUAUGUCUUAUUUUCACUUUUGUUAGUCUCUUGAGGGUUUUGGUUUAUGUCCCUCCUCUCUUUGUACUUGGAUUUAUUUAUUUAUUUAUUUAUUUAUUUAUUUAUUUAUAUAUACAUAAUAUAGUUGCUUUUUUUAAAAAAAGCUGACAUUGUGACUCUUUAUAAACUCAACUUUUCUAUGUAAAAUAAAAUGUUUCCUUAUAUUUUCUAGUAAUAUAAUGAAAUGGAACCAUACUGGUAUAUGAAUUGCAAGAUUAUUUUCAAAAUUUGAACACCAAAUUGUCUUAAUAAACAUUUCAAAUCAGUAAAAUAUUCAAAGAGGAAAAAAAAAGUAAAAUAUUCAAUUAUUUAAUACCUUAAUUUGAUUUAUCAUAAACAUGAGAUUCAAUUGGUUAUUGCAAUUUUGAAGUAACUUUUUUUCAAAAUUUAAAUUAGGUCUUAAUUAUUGUUGUUACAAAAGAAAAAAAUUGUAGGAGGAAUUUUUGUAUAUAAUAGUUCUUAUUUGAAUAUUUUUUUUCUAAAGAUAUAUUUUGAUUUUAUUUUGAAAAGUAAAAAGAUAUAUUUCUAAUAUGGUCGGAUGGGAAUAGGCUAGGUGUCCGUUAAGGGUAUGGUCUGACCUAACCUAUUUAAUAAAAAGGCUAGACUCAUGCUAUUUUUAAAGCCUAUUUAUUUAAAUAUAUCAGACUCAGACUUAUAAAAAAAGCCUAUUAGGUCUGACAGACCGGCCUAUAUAUAUUUUAUUAUUUAUUAAUGUUAUUUUUUAUUAUUAUAUUAAUAAUACUAUUUCCUAUUUUAAAUUAUAUCAAUUAGACAAUUACUCAGUAAUCAUUCCAUAUUCGGUAGUCGUUCCAGAUUCACUACAAGAAUUUUUGAAGUUUGCGACACUUGGCCUGCGACGGUUCUGAAAUAACCGCCCUCACCACCACAUUGCGACGGUUCCUGGGGCGGUAUUCGUCAACCGCCGCCACCAUACCACCAUAUAAAGCACGCGAUUUUCACCCUCACCACCAGUUAGCGACGGUUCCUGGGGCGGUUUUAAGCAAUCAUCGUCGUUUAGGGCAAUACACCUCUCUUUGUGUUUCGUUUUCCAGAUUUUGUAAUUUCAUUUGUCACUCUCGCGUGUAUUCCUUUGUUAGCCCCGCGCACAUCCUUCCUCAACCCUAAAAUUUCUGAAAACCCCCAAAUCUCUCAACCUCUGUCAACCCUAAAACUUCUGAAGGAAACGAAAUCAAAGAGAAACGAAAUCGAAGACAACUCUUGCAAAGGAAAGGGCAAGAUUACAGGUUAGCGAUAACAACGAACUCGCUGUGAUUGAAGACAAACUUGCUUAGAUUGUCCACAUCGUAGCCGCAAUUCUUAAGAUAAAACAGUGAAAGGGCAAGAUUACAGUAAGGACGAGGAAGAUAUUCAGAAGGCGGGUGGAGAGUGAUACCAAUUCUGAUAGUGAAGAUGAUGACUUGGUGACAAACCUAAAUGAAGCAGACAAUUUAAAUGUUGAUUCUUUACAUUUGUCGGAGCAGGAUGAUGGACAUGAAAGUCAUGGAAUAUAGGAGAGCGGUGAAGCAGGUGAAAGCAGCGGAUCUGAAAAGGAAGAGGCAAAUGACCAGGAGGAAAACAAUGAAAUUGAAGCUGAACUCACAAAGAGCUUGUAAAUCAUAAAGCAUAAUAGAAGUGUUAUGUAAUUAUAACUAUUUGUUAUUGACCACCUUACAAAUCAAAGAUGCAACUGUUAGCUGUGGUAAUAGUGAGUUGCAAAGUUAGAUAUUUCUGUUACAGAGAACUGUUUUCAUAGCAAACAUAUUUAAAAAUCUUGUGAGAAUUGUUGGUCUUUGAUUAAAAAUAUCAAUUGUGUAAAGAUUUCUUAUAGCUAUAAGAGAAAUUUAGUUAAUUAGUUUUGACAAUAUUUAUCAAUAUUCAUUGAGGUUAAUAUAUACUUUUUUUUUCUUCAAGCAAUGGAUAUAGAAUCGCUAAUAGAUGGUAGACGUUCAUCUGAGUCCAGCCACCAACUUGAUGAUCUUGGAACAACAUCAUUAUGGACUAAUUAGAUAUUUGGAUGAACUUCUAAGUUUGAUGGAGUUGUUUUGUAUUGUUAGCUACUCCACUAAUGUUUUGAAUAUUUAAACUACUUUAUUUAUUGUUUUAGUUAACUUCAAUGUAUGAAUUGGUGUUAUUUC